rnacentral:rRNA from 1 species
AUAAAAAACCAAUGCCCUUCGGGGCUCUCUGGUGAUUCAUAAUAACUUAACGAAUCGCAUGGCCUUGUGCCGGCGAUGGUUCAUUCAAAUUUCUGCCCUAUCAACUUUCGAUUGUUAUGUAGUGGAUAACAAUGGUUUCAACGGGUAACGGGGAAUUAGGGUUCUAUUCCGGAGAGGGAGCCUGAGAAACGGCUACCACAUCCAAGGAAGGCAGCAGGCGCGCAAAUUACCCAAUCCCGACACGGGGAGGUAGUGACAAUAAAUACUGAUACAGGGCUCUUUUGGGUCUUGUAAUUGGAAUGAGUACAAUUUAAAUCCCUUAACGAGGAACAAUUGGAGGGCAAGUCUGGUGCCAGCAGCCGCGGUAAUUCCAGCUCCAAUAGCGUAUAUUAAAGUUGUUGCAGUUAAAAAGCUCGUAGUUGAACCUUGGGCCCGGCUGGCCGGUCCGCCUCACCGCGUGCACUGGUCCGGCCGGGCCUUUCCUUCUGGGGAGCCGCAUGCCCUUCACUGGGUGUGUCGGGGAACCAGGACUUUUACUUUGAAAAAAUUAGAGUGUUCAAAGCAGGCCUAUGCUCGAAUACAUUAGCAUGGAAUAAUAGAAUAGGACGUGUGGUUCUAUUUUGUUGGUUUCUAGGACCGCCGUAAUGAUUAAUAGGGAUAGUUGGGGGCAUUAGUAUUCAGUUGCUAGAGGUGAAAUUCUUGGAUUUACUGAAGACUAACUAUUGCGAAAGCAUUUGCCAAGGAUGUUUUCAUUAAUCAAGAACGAAGGUUAGGGGAUCGAAAACGAUCAGAUACCGUUGUAGUCUUAACAGUAACUAUGCCGACUAGGGAUCGGGCGAACUCACUUCUAUGUGUCGCUCGGCACCUUACGAGAAUCAAA